rnacentral:sRNA from 1 species
CUUGGUCAUUUAGAGGAAGUAAAAGUCGUAACAAGGUUUCCGUAGGUGAACCUGCGGAAGGAUCAUUAGUGAAUUGAAUAUGUUAGCGGACCUCUUCGGAGUCCCUAGCAUCAAAUCAUAUCCAUAACACCUGUGAACUGUAAGGCUGUCUUGAAAACGAAAGUGAUUAGAGCGCCUGCCCAUUUUAUACAAACAUUAAAGUAACAAACGUAGUCUUAUUAUAAUCUAAUAAAACUUUCAACAACGGAUCUCUUGGCUCUCGCAUCGAUGAAGAACGCAGCGAAAUGCGAUAAGUAAUGUGAAUUGCAGAAUUCAGUGAAUCAUCGAAUCUUUGAACGCACCUUGCGCUCUUUGGUAUUCCGAAGAGCAUGCCUGUUUGAGUGUCAUGAAAAUAUCAACCUUGACUUGGGUUUAGUGCUCUUGUCUCGGCUUGGAUUUGGCUGUUUGCCGCUCGAAAGAGUCGGCUCAGCUUAAAAGUAUUAGCUGGAUCUGUCUUUGAGACUUGGUUUGACUUGGCGUAAUAAGUUAUUUCGCUGAGGACAAUCUUCGGAUUGGCCGAGUUUCUGGGACGUUUGUCCGCUUUCUAAUACAAGUUCUAGCUUGCUAGACAUGACUUUUUUAUUAUCUGGCCUCAAAUCAGGUAGGACUACCCGCUGAACUUAAGCAUAUCAAUAAGCGGAGGAAAAGAAACUAACAAGGAUUCCCCUAGUAACGGCGAGUGAAGCGGGAAGAGCUCAAAUUUGAAAUCUGGUGGCCUCAGGCUAUCCGAGUUGUAAUCUAUAGAAACAUUUUCCGCGUUGGCCCAUGUACAAGUCUCUUGGAAUAGAGCGUCAUAGAGGGUGAGAAUCCCGUCCUUGACAUGGACUACCAGUGCUUUGUGAUAUGUUUUCAACGAGUCGAGUUGUUUGGGAAU